rnacentral:misc_RNA from 1 species
GAUCAAUUUAGGCUCAAUUAAUACUCUGGUAUCUUGAUUUGAAUCAAUUACGAUAACCUUUACCUUCCUCUGCCUGUUCAGAUUCGCCAUCAGUAAAAAAUGAGAUCCAUUCAGCCAAUGUUUUGAUAUUAACGCUCAUUAUAUAGAAUUUAUUACCACCAAUAAUCUUUAACUCCGUCUUCAGGUUAUUGAAAGCUACUUGUCAUAUAGACAGCGACUAGUGCCCUAAGCUACAAGGUAAAUAGAGCCGUUCAGGGAUGGAUUACAGGCCCAAGAGAGGAUAUGGACUCUUGUUCUUUAAGGCAACCAAACCCCAUUUUUUCAAGAUAAUUCUUGAUGAUACCAUUUGUAGUAUGAAGCUUGUGUAGAGACAGCCCAAAUUUAACAUUGUGGUAUCA